GCCCGGCCGCCGGCACUUCCUCUGCCGGGCGUCCCCUGCCGGCCGGCGCGGCGCCGAGGGAGGCCCGGCCGCCCCCUGGCGGCCCCAGAGGAUCCCGGCGGCCUGAAGAGGCCUGAGGGCCCUGAGCCGGCGGGGCCCGGGAUUGGGGGUGCCCGCCCUGGCCUGUAAACUGCUGGCCUGGGGUUCAGCCUCCUUCCCCACUCGGCCCGGAGGGAGUUUGGCAACUGGAGGCCUCGCCCUUCGUGUCCGGCAGCCCACUUGAGACGUGAAAGGGAGAGGCAGAAUGACUCUGAAUUAACUAAGGGGAAAGGAGGCCCAAAGAUGGGAGGUAGUAAGUCCCCGACAGGAAUUCAGACAUCUGGUUCCAGAGUCCCUGCCCUUCACCACUCCGCAGUGCUGCUGAUUCCAUCCAGCCCGCAUCAGUCGAUGGAUUAAAAGGGGCACUGGUUAGAACUAGGCACGAAGACCUAGCUACAUAUACAGGGGAUGGGGAAGUUUACCAUGUGCCUGGAAGAAGAGGAAACCAGAAGUAUCUGCCAUAUGUAGAUUAUCAUUUCCAAAGGGCAACAUGGGGAGUAAGAAAACACAUCUAUAUUAUGAAAGUGAUGGGAACCAUUUCUCAUUUAAUUGCAUAUUUCAUGCAACCCCUCAUGGUGCCUUGAACAAGAUGUGUCUGCUACAGAGUCUCACUGCAUUAAUUUGCUGGCAACUUUUUACCUCAUCUCUGUUGGCUUCUUGAAGGUAAGAGAUAUUUUAAUUAUUGUUAUACCACCAUCUUCUUAAGUGAAGUGUCUGCCUAUAAUUUUACCUAUGUUAAACAUUUAUUUUCCAUUGAAAUUAAUAAAAUAGCCUUAAAUAUUUUGCCAUCUAUAAAAUGUAUUUUAAACUUCCCAAGAUCCUAGGAUCUCAUAUAAUGCAAAUUUGUUCAUAUAAAACAGAGUACAUCAGAGUAAUGUCUUUUCCUAUUGCAGAUACACAGACUAGUAUAACAUUAAAGAAAAUCUCAGUGCUUCUUAAGCAUGUUGUUUACAAAAGAAUAAAUAAUAUAAUGUGUUUUCAUCCCUAUUUCUGCUGAGGAUCUCAAAACACCGCAUUGGCAUCAGUUAAGUCAUCCACAUAAGAUUCUCCACUAAGUAGAAAGGAGACUGAUGUUUCCCUCUUAGGUUCCAUCUUAAGUCCUUAUAGAUGAGAGAACUAAUGCACACACCUGUAGGCCAGCUUACUAUAUAACAGGUAGAAAAUACUACACUUAUUCCAUUUUGCUU